rnacentral:rRNA from 1 species
AUUGAACGCUGGCGGCAUGCCUAACACAUGCAAGUCGAGCGGAGCGGCGGACGGGUGAGUAAUGCCUAGGAAUCUGCCUGGGAGUGGUGGAUAACAUCCGGGGACGGGCGCUAAUACCGCAUACUAUCAGAUGAACCUAGGUCGGAUUAGCUAGUUGGUGGGGUAAAGGCCUACCAAGGAGACGAUACGUAACUGGUCUGAGAGGAUGAUCAGUCACACUGGAACUGAGACACGGUCCAGACUCCUACGGGAGGCAGCAGUGGGGAAUAUUGGACAAUGGGCGAAAGCCUGAUCCAGCCAUGCCGCGUGUGUGAAGAAGGUCUUCGGAUUGUAAAGCACUUUAAGUUGGGAGGCGUUACCAACAGAAUAAGCACCGGCUAACUUCGUGCCAGCAGCCGCGGUAAUAC